UACAGAGGUCUCAAGCGUUGUUCGGAUUCAUUGGGCGUAAAGGGUGCGUAGGCGGCGCGGUAAGUCGGGUGUGAAAUCUCGGAGCUUAACUCCGAAACUGCAUUCGAUACUGCCGUGCUUGAGGACUGGAGAGGAGACUGGAAUUUACCGUGUAGCGGUGAAAUGCGUAGAUAUCGUAAGGAAGACCAGUGGCGAAGGCGGGUCUCUGGACAGUUCCUGGCGCUGAGGCACGAAGGUCAGGGGAGCAAACGGG
rnacentral:rRNA from 1 species